rnacentral:rRNA from 1 species
CAGCCCAGAGCCUGAAUCAGUGUGUGUGUUAGUGGAAGCGUCUGGAAAGGCGUGCGAUACAGGGUGACAGCCCCGUACACAAAAAUGCACAUAUUGUGAGCUUGAUGAGUAGGGCGGGACACGUGGUAUCCUGUCUGAAUAUGGGGGGACCAUCCUCCAAGGCUAAAUACUCCUGACUGACCGAUAGUGAACCAGUACCGUGAGGGAAAGGCGAAAAGAACCCCGGCGAGGGGAGUGAAAAAGAACCUGAAACCGUGUACGUACAAGCAGUGGGAGCACGCUUAGGCGUGUGACUGCGUACCUUUUGUAUAAUGGGUCAGCGACUUAUAUUCUGUAGCAAGGUUAACCGAAUAGGGGAGCCGAAGGGAAACCGAGUCUUAACUGGGCGUUAAGUUGCAGGGUAUAGACCCGAAACCCGGUGAUCUAGCCAUGGGCAGGUUGAAGGUUGGGUAACACUAACUGGAGGACCGAACCGACUAAUGUUGAAAAAUUAGCGGAUGACUUGUGGCUGGGGGUGAAAGGCCAAUCAAACCGGGAGAUAGCUGGUUCUCCCCGAAAGCUAUUUAGGUAGCGCCUCGUGAAUUCAUCUCCGGGGGUAGAGCACUGUUUCGGCAAGGGGGUCAUCCCGACUUACCAACCCGAUGCAAACUGCGAAUACCGGAGAAUGUUAUCACGGGAGACACACGGCGGGUGCUAACGUCCGUCGUGAAGAGGGAAACAACCCAGACCGCCAGCUAAGGUCCCAAAGUCAUGGUUAAGUGGGAAACGAUGUGGGAAGGCCCAGACAGCCAGGAUGUUGGCUUAGAAGCAGCCAUCAUUUAAAGAAAGCGUAAUAGCUCACUGGUCGAGUCGGCCUGCGCGGAAGAUGUAACGGGGCUAAACCAU